AGUGUGUGCAUAUUUUGGAGCAAUAAAGAGUACGGCGGAAAGAAAGGGAAGCGUGAAAAGAGCGCAAGAGUAAAACUGGGCGCCCCGAAAUCCUUUCUCGUUAUUGUUUUGUAAAAGUUUGUCAUUGUGAAUCUGAGGUCAGGCAUAACCGACUGCUGCACAAUAGCGUCAACGCUUUGUGAGCACAUAAAAUAGAACGUUCCAGCCAGUCAAAAGCUCUGUUGUUGUUACGUUCUCUAUUAGGCUACUCAAGUUUAAAGUCAUAAAAAUAUGUGACAUUUACAUGAAGCUCUAUUAUUACGAACGUUUUCGGAUUUGCACUAUUCGUCUUGACAGUCAUUUGAUCUCAUGAAAGCCACUGCUCAUGAUUACCAAGCGUGAUACAUAUGCAUCUUAUGCUUUAGACUCCUACUGCAGCUCGAACAUCUAUAUUAAUGUAUUUCAGAUCAAUAUUCAGAAAAGCUCACAAGGAGAGGAAAUGCUCUGUCUCCUUUACCCCCCUCGUUCGUUUUGUUCUGUAUAGACUAAAAUAAUGACUGACCCAGAUGCUAAUAAUAUCGGUGAAAGGACUCAGCGAGUCUCAAUGGGGAGGAAAUGACAUGGUCAUGUCAUUCAUACAACAUCACACCAGUGCCAUUCUAUGACACGAAGCCUCUGACAAACAUUUCGAUUUCAUCUAUGAGACCACCAGAACAAACCGACUGAGUAGCUUCAAAAGUUCGCUGUGUAAAUGAGCGGGUUGAAGAAGGAGUUGGAGUAACCCAGCCAGAGGAAGACACUCUUCCAUAUUGGUGGAAUGUGGCAGGAGCACAGCGGGGUGAUGAGCUCGGUGAGGAAGAAAGGAAUCCAGCAGAGGACAAACACUCCGAUGAGGAUGCCGACCAUCAGAGCUGCUCGCUUCUCUUUCUGCUCUCGCCACGUCUCACUGUCGGUCUGGAAUGUCACUGUGGCAUGGCGUACCGUGAACACCAUCUGAGGCUGUUGUCUAGAGGCCUCUUUCACCUGAGGGCACAGAUGCGUCUUGAGCAUUACUGCUUAGACGAACAGCACAACACAAAGAGGCAGAUAGAAGGCCCCGAAUGUGGAAAAGAUGGUGUAAGACGGCUCCUGGCUCACCUGGCACUCCAUGUCCUCCUCUGAAUACGUCUCACCCCAGCCAAACAGAGGGGAGAGGGAAAUAACAGAUGAGAGCAGCCAGGUCAAACCAAUCAUCACAUUGGAGAUCUUCUUUCGGGUCU